rnacentral:rRNA from 1 species
AGAUUGAACGCUGGCGGCAUGCCUUACACAUGCAAGUCGAACGGCAGCACGGGAGCAAUCCUGGUGGCGAGUGGCGAACGGGUGAGUAAUAUAUCGGAACGUGCCCAGUCGUGGGGGAUAACGCAGCGAAAGCUGUGCUAAUACCGCAUACGAUCUAUGGAUGAAAGCGGGGGAUCGCAAGACCUCGCGCGAUUGGGAGCGGCCGAUAUCAGAUUAGCUAGUUGGUGGGGUAAAAGCCCACCAAGGCGACGAUCUGUAGCUGGUCUGAGAGGACGACCAGCCACACUGGAACUGAGACACGGUCCAGCUCUACGGGAGCAGCAGUGGGGAAUUUUGGACAAGUGGGCGCGAAGCCUGACUCCGAGCCAAAGUCGCCGACGUGCGAGGAUGAAGGCCGUUGGGUUAGUAACUGUCGUUUAGUAACGGAACGUAAACGGUCCUUUA